rnacentral:rRNA from 1 species
UACGAAGGGGGCGAGCGUUGUUCGGAUUUACUGGGCGUAAAGGGCGCGCAGGCGGCUCAUUUUGUCAGGCGUGAAAGCCCGGAGCUCAACUCCGGAACUGCCUUUAAGACUGCAUCGCUUGAAUCCAGGAGAGGUGAGUGGAAUUCCGAGUGUAGAGGUGAAAUUCGUAGAUAUUCGGAAGAACACCAGUGGCGAAGGCGGCUCACUGGACUGGUAUUGACGCUGAGGUGCGAAAGCGUGGGGAGCAAACAGG